UGGAAGAAUGAAAUGGAACUGAUGAGAAAAUGGGGACCGUCGGAUUUGUGCCAAGUGACGAAAUCUAAAAAAGAGAGAGAGUGUUGAAUGGAAAAGGUUUAAUUUGAUGCGGCACGAAAAACAGAGGAAAAUUUUCCUUCACUGGCGGUGGCGCCCAGGGAGGAUAGCAGCACACUGCCCAAGGCAGCAUUGUGCAUUACCCGACCACCGCACACUGCUCCAUGCAGGCCUGCUGCGGAGACAACGCACGUAUAGUGUGCGACGCCGUGCCUUAUCCGCAUGAUGUGACACUCGUGGACGAGCCUGCUUGCGUGAGAUAAGACGCAUGCGCAGGACUGGCCCCGCACCUC
rnacentral:lncRNA from 1 species